UACUAUGGUAAUGUCAUUAUGUGGUGCCUUCAAUAUAUACUAUGGUAAUGUCAUUAUGUGGUGCCUUCAAUAUAUACAAUGGUAAUGUCUGUCACAUUUAAAGUCCAAACUGCUUUCCGUUCGUCCAUUACCAAAUCUGUGUUCAGGUAAAUAGAUAAAUUUUAUCCCCAACUUUCACCCAUACGUUUAAAUCAGGUUUGAAAUUGCCGACUAAGCAAGGUCUAUUUUUAAAUCCUAGUAUUCGAACUGGUUUGCGGUGUUUGCUUUGGUCAGUUUGGACGUAGCAGGCACGAGUAACGGACGUCAAAAGUAAAUCAAAAUUCUUAACAUUGUAAGGUAUUCAGUUUGUCAUAUUGCUUCAGACAGGUUCCACUAUAGCACUUCUGAGAUCCUUUAAAUUAGCCACAAAUUAAAAGAAACCAAGGAAAAGUAGGAAGUAAGAGUGGGAGCCAGAGGAAACGUAUUAGAAUUCCAAACGGAGCCACCAUUCCAACUGGACCCAAAGUGUAGUUAUUGAAACAACCGCAGUGCCAUUACAGUGACAAUCACAAGACUGAGUUUUUAAUUAUAUUUCAUUUAUUUUUGUAAUAAUUAGUAACAAAAUUGAUGUAAAAUAAAGAUGUAAAGUGUA